rnacentral:rRNA from 1 species
GACGAACGCUGGCGGCGUGCUUAACACAUGCAAGUCGAACGGAAAGGCCCUGCUCUUGUGGGGUGCUCGUGUGGCGAACGGGUGAGUAACACGUGAGUAACCUGCCCCUGACAUUGGGAUAACAUCUGGAAACUGCGGCUCAUACCGGAUAGGAGAUCCUGCUGCGUGUGGGGGGAUGGAAAGAUUCGGCGGUUGGGGCUGGACUCGCGGCUUAUCAGCUUGUUGGUGGGGUAGUGGCUUACAAAGGCUUUGACGGGUAGCCGGCCUGGGAGGGUGACCGGGCACAAUGCGCCUGCGGGACGGCCCAGACUCCUACGGGAGGCAACAGGGGAGAAUAUGGCGGAACGGGCGGGAGUCAGAUGUGGCAACGCCGGGUGCGGGAUACCGGGCUUUUGGUGAUGAACCGCUUUCUCCUGUGCCGAAGCGUUAGUGACGGUAAUGGGUAAAGAAGCACCGGCUAACUACGUG